rnacentral:rRNA from 1 species
AGGGCACCACCAGAUAUGGAGCCUGCGGCUUAAUUUGACUCAACACGGGAAAACUUACCUGGCCCGGACACUGGAAGGAUUGACAGAUUGAGAGCUCUUUCUUGAUUCAGUGGGUGGUGGUGCAUGGCCGUUCUUAGUUGGUGGAGCGAUUUGUCUGGUUAAUUCCGAUAACGAACGAGACUCUAGCCUACUAAAUAGACUGCCGGACUUUUCUUGUGGGUAGGACUGCUUAUACUUCGGGGCGUGGACGCAUGCGGAGACAAUAGAACAACUUCUUAGAUGUGAUGGCCUUUGAUGUCCCGCACCGCACGCGCGCUACACUGAACAGAGAAGCCCUUAUGAGGUUCCUGCUCCGCGCGGAGUACACAGAACAGAUCAACCUCUUCUUAAUUGUUACUACUCAGUCAGGAGUGUCUACCCCGAUGAACCUUCUUCCGUGAUUGGGAUAGGAGGAUUGUCGUGAUGAUUACUGACCUGGCCUUUGUACACACCGCCCGGCGCUACUAACGAGUUGAUGAU